rnacentral:siRNA from 1 species
UUAAAACACGACUUAAGGUGUU